rnacentral:lncRNA from 1 species
AAGCCUGCAAGUACACAUCCAGAUGGCCUGAAGCAACUAAAGAACCACAAAAGAAGUGAAAAUAAUUCCUGCCUUAACUGAUGACAUUCCACCAUUGUGAUUUAUUCCUGCCCCACCCUAACUGGUCAAUUGACCUUGUGAAAUUCCUUCUCCUGGACAAUGAGUCUCACAACCUCCCCACUAAGCACCUUGUAACCCCCAUCUCUGCCUGCAAGAGAAAAACUCCCCUUGACUCUUGCCCUAAUCCUAUAAAACUGCCCCACUCCUAUCUCCCUUUGCUGACUCCUUUUUCGGACUCAGUCUGCCUGCACCCAUGUGAUUAAAAAGCUUUAUUGCUCACACAAAGCCUGUUUGGUUAUCUCUUCACACAGACAUGCGUGACAUUUGGUGCUGAAGACCCGGGAUGGGGGACUCCUUCGGGAGACUGGUCCCCUGUCCUCACCCUCACUCCAUGAGGAGAUCCACCUACAACCUCGGGUCCUCAGUCCAACCAGCCUAAGGAACAUCUCACCAAUUUCAAAUCAGGUCCUCUUUGGAUUCCAGCACGAUGCAUCAAACCAUACCAUGGCAUGCCUAGGACCCAACCCCAUAUCAGAAAUGAAGAAACUGACCUUACAGUACCCGCAGCCCUGAACAAAGCAGCUUCCACAGAUGACACAAGCCCCGGACCUGGGGGAUGCUGAAGAGGACAACUCAGGAGGCUGAACGAAUCCUGCUCUGGACACUGACACCAAUUACUCCAGGAAAUUUUUUCCUUGCUAUGCUUUCUGUGUAUAUUGCAACUCACAUAGGGAUGCAAAGUUGGAAUAAGAGCAAUGACCACCUCUCCUGAGAGACCUGUUUGUUCCCACAUCUGUACUCUUCAGUCAACAGAACCUGAUGCAAAGAACAGAAAAGGGGAAGAUGUGGGGGAUUCAGUCAGGAUGGUGGGAGAAAUUGUAAAAUUAUAGGAAAUAAUCACAAACACUUGUGGAAGGCCUGGGGGUUUGCAUAAAAUGUUGGGCUGAAGGCAGCUGAAUUCUCUUAAAAGCUUAGGGCAUAGAUACACAGAAAUGUAGUUUAUCUAAAUGACUUGUUUACUUAUGUGGUCCUAAAACUAACCUUUGAUAGUUUAUGGGCAGGAUAGCUCUCUCAGGGUAGGGGGAGGGCAACCAGAUUGAUUACCCACUGAUGGUGUUGACUCAAAGCCUUCGUCAUUUAAUAUGUGCUGAAUAAAUGCCAGCAGGGCCAGUGAGUCAGGGCCACAGCUGCAACUCUUUACAGCACUCUCCUUUGAGUCUGUAAGUGGCCUAGACCCUCAGCCGGUCUGACAAGCAUAAUAUCUGUGUUAGUGUACAUUAUUCAUCCAUCGUUGGGUCAGGGUCUGCAGGACAGACCCCUAGAAAAAUAAAAUAAAAUUAAAAAUAGCCGGGUGUGGUUACACACACCUGUAAUCCCACCUACCUGGGAGGCUGAGAUAGAAUCGCUUGAACACAGGAGGCAGAAUUUGCAGUGAGCCGAGAUCAUGCCACUGCA